AAUCAAUAGCCAAUUAAUUGUUGGCCGGUAUGAAUGGCGUCACGAAGGCCCCACUGUCUUAAGAGGACUCUCCAUGAAAUUGAAUUCGUAGUGAAGAUGCUACGUCCAUAUUGUAAGACGAAAAGACCCCAUUGAGCUUUACUAAAGACUUGCAUGGCUCAAAAUAAUUUGACUUAAAUAAAGAGUUUAGAUAAUGUGGGACCCGUUUCUGGUUAAUGAAACACCACUCUUUUAUUUUAAGAGAGCUAACAUUACAGGGAUAGUGUAAGUUGGAUAGUUUGGUUGGGGCGACCACCUUUUAAAAGGUAACGAAGGUGAGCUUAAGGUCCGUAGUUAAUAGCCGGUGGCCUGACUGCAAGGGGGACGUCUCGAGCAGACACGUCCUUAGGGAUGUGGACUAUAGUGACCCGUCAUCUUAGUGUGGAAUAGUUGACGAUCAA
rnacentral:rRNA from 3 species